rnacentral:sRNA from 1 species
UGAUACAAUCAAAUUGUAAGUCUAUUUAACUUAUUUGAGUCGUGAACCGAUUAUAUCAUCGUGUCUAUUUAUAUGCAAUAUAAAAGAACCUGAUAAGUUUUAUCAGGUUCUUUUUUGA